UUCGGGUGGGGGGAGAUUCUCCACGUCUCAGACCAGACAAAGCCAGAGCAUGCUGACCAAAAGCUGUUUCAAAGAUGGCCGCCACGUGAAAUGACUUCAGAACUUGCAUAACUAUCUCCAAUUGGUUAACCCUCUUCAUGCCCAUCCUCAAACGUUCUGUUUUAAUCAGAAUUGCUUUCAGAAGCUCAGCAACACAGUCUCCGAGUGGCUUGAGGAAGUUGCUGUCCUCUGUGUUGCUCUCGUAGGGGUAAUCCUGUUCCUCAGGCCCCUUCGGAGUGGACACAGAAGAUGAGGACGAGGAUGAUGAACGCUGCCACCAGUUCCUCCAGUUAGGAGCUGCCCAGCCAGGCUUGUUUUCUUUACGCAUUCCCUUCUCUGGCUCAGAACCUUCCAGACUGUCCACCACUUCUAUGGUGACCUAAACAAUGGAAGAAUAUUGUCAUUACAAGUGUUUACUGAGGCAAACGUUGCUAUUAACAAUUUUGUUCAUCCAUAUGUUUAAGGAUUUGAACAAUCCCAAACCAUAAGAAUUCAAUGUGGAAUUUAUUGCAAAUAAUUUGUAAAAUGAGGGAUGCC
rnacentral:lncRNA from 1 species